rnacentral:misc_RNA from 1 species
CAAGAAUUGCCGAAAGGCUCCCUACAAACCAUCGCGAAUCUUAUCCCUACGUUGCCUCGGCGCUGGCGGUCCGAGCCCUCGGGGCCCCGCAGCCCUCGGCUCUCCGCUCGCGGUAAGGGCAUGCCCGCCGGAGUGCCGAACUAACUCUUGAUAUCUAUAGUGGUCUCUCUGAGUAACACUUUAAAUAAGUCA